rnacentral:rRNA from 1 species
AGAGAUGCACUGGGUGUAAAGCGUGCGCAGGCGGUUUUGUAAGACAGAGGUGAAAUCCCUGGGCUCAACCUGGGAACUGCCUUUGUGACUGCAAGGCUGGAGUGCGGCAGAGGGGGAUGGAAUUCCGCGUGUAGCAGUGAAAUGCGUAGAUAUGCGGAGGAACACCGAUGGCGAAGGCAAUCCCCUGGGCCUGCACUGACGCUCAUGCACGAAAGCGUGGGGAGCAAACA